rnacentral:rRNA from 1 species
GACGAACGCUGGCGGCGUGCUUAACACAUGCAAGUCGAGCGAUGAAGCACCUUCGGGUGUGAAUUAGCGGCGAACGGGUGAGGAACACGUGAAGAAUCUGCCUUCAACUCUGGGAUAACUCCGGGAAACCGGGGCUAAUACCGGAUAUGAGCCUUGAUCGCAUGAUCGGGGCUGGAAAGUUUUUCGGUUGAAGAUGACUUCGCGGCCUAUCAGCUUGUUGGUGAGGUAAUGGCUCACCAAGGCGACGACGGGUAGCCGGCCUGAGAGGGCGACCGGCCACACUGGGACUGAGACACGGCCCAGACUCCUACGGGAGGCAGCAGUGGGGAAUAUUGGGCAAUGGAGGAAACUCUGACCCAGCGACGCCGCGUGAGGGAUGAAGGCCUUCGGUGUAACCUCUUCAGUAGGAAGAAGCGAAAGUGACGGUACCGUACAGAAGAAGCACGGCUAACUAUGU